AGACUCAGACCACAACAAACCCCAGCUGACGGGACGGGCAAGUGUGUGGCGUGAUUCAGACAGGUGUUUGCGUGAUGUUCAGGAGUAAGGCAAGCAGAAUUACCUCCGUGUCCCCAGCGCCCCUCGUGGGAGGACAUGGAGGAAAGACCUGAAGAACUCCAAGAAGAGUGAUGUCGUCUUCAAUAUUGCCAAAACAACUCUUGCCAGCAAAGGAAGUAAGGAGGAGCGACGUCCCAGCAUGAGCGACUCAGAGGCGACAGAGGUGGCCAGCAAGGAUGCAAGUGAAGAAGAAAUGUUCCAACUUGCAGUGGAGUUUGUGGAGCGGAAUGACAGCCUCAUGGCCAGCACCGAGCAACUGGCCGAGGAGAGCGAGCGACUCCGGGAAGUGAGCGAGAGCUUGAGGGAGACUGUGGAGGAGGUGAAGAAGCAGGCACUGGUGGCUAUUGAUGGCUGCUGAGGAGGAAGAUGGUGAUGACAGAGAAGCAGUUUUGUUGUAUCCCAGAGCUGUGUGGCCUGAAUCAAGGUGAGGAGUGAGAGAGGACUCUUUCAUCCCUUCAUCUUAUGUCCAGAAGCUUUGAUGGAGUGAUGCUGUUGGUUAAGAGGGAAGAGAUACUAGUUAACAGGGUUAGAUGGAACAACACAAGAAAACUGGAUAUACAUGCUACUGGGCAUGAAGUUUUGACAUAAUACAGAUUCCGGAAGGGUUCUGAGUGUAGCAAAAACAGUAAUGAAUGGCUUACAAGGUGACAUUUCAUUUGUUUGGUGAGACAUUGUGUUACAGUAAGUUAAGGUACCUGACACUUCAUUUCUUCCAGUCAAACUUCUGUAGAAACUGAAGCUUUAAAGGAAUCAAAGUCCAUAUGUUUCUGUAACGUAUUUGGGGUGGUGGUUAAGAGAGAAUGAGUAAAUGAAGAAAUAUCAAUGCCCUCUGGAGUUUUCCUUGUUUGUAUGACUUCCUGGAAGGGCUUGAGGGGAAAUUGUCUUGCAGAGAGAAACAGAAAACCAGUCAUUUCUGUCUUGGAACUUUCUGAGGAUUAUGUAAAGUGUUGAUGUUGUCAGGGAAAAGGGAAUGUGUUCAUGUCAUAAUAAGGUACAUUCUUUUCUUCAUUGUGUAAAGGAACCUGGUCAAGGGAUAUAAGGAAACUUAAUAAAAGAAAAAAGUGUGGAGUGCAAAAAAAAUCAUAAAAGAGAAUAGGUUAAUGACCCAGUGCAGAGAUGUAGCUAUAAACAUUGUUAUUUUGUUAUUAGUUACUAUAACAAAUAACAAAAUAAAUAACAAUGCUUAUACAGGGGUUCUCAACUUUUUGCAAGCUGGGCACCCCCAAAGCUGGUUCAUUACAGGUGGGGCCCCCUCCUCCCUGUGCUACCCACUCUACCCCUUCCCUAACUAUGCCAUCAUAGAUAGAAUGAUAGAAUCAGAUAGACAGAUAGAUAGAAUCAGAUAGAUAGAUAGAUAUAUAUCCCUUGGCUUGGCAUCUCCUUUGUACUAAUAGCCAGUGAGUCCAUGAUUUUUUGUGAUUUUUUUCCCCUCUCAUCAUGUGCUCGUGCCGCCCUAGGAAAGUGUCCAGACCUCCCAAUUGAGAACCACUGUUUGUGGUCAUGUAUUAUUCCUUUCCCAGAUUUCACGUCACAAGUUUAGAAAAGUGCAAGUCAUGGGAAAAUAGGACUGUACCAUUAAAAUAACAUUUUGUAUUUAUAAAUAUAUUGUCUCUUUAUAUACA